AUAAACGCAGAGUACAUGGGGGUGGAUUUUGUGGAAAUUGUCCAAUUUUGUUCUGUGUUGUGAUGAAGUUAUCUUGGUUUUUGUGUGGGAAGCUUUAGUUUAUUUUGGCUGGUUUUGUUGUUCUAAGUGAAGGUUGUGUGAUGAAUGUGAAUUUUAAAGAUAAUUCUUAAAUAUUAAGAAUUCACAGAGGCGAGGGGUAGAAGUAAUACAAUUGCUCAAAAACCCAGCACUUCUAGACAGAAAAAUUAAAUAAAAUGUAUUAGGAAA